AAAAUGCGUUACUUGGUGUGAAUUGCAGAAUCCCGUGAACCAUCGAGUUUUUGAACGCAAGUUGCGCCCGAAGCCAUCCGGCUGAGGGCACGCCUGCCUGGGCGUCACGCAUCGCGUCGCUCCCCACCAUACCUCCCCAACGGGUUGGCAUGGUGUUGGGGGCGGAUAAUGGCCUCCCGUGCUUGUGUUUCGGUUGGCCUAAAUAAGAGUUCCCUUCGGCGGACACACGACUAGUGGUGGUUGAAUAGACCCUCGUCUUUUGUUGCGUGUCGUGAGCUGUAAGGGUAGCCCUCAUCAAAGACCCCAUUGUAUCGUCUUCGGAUGAUGCUUCGACCGCGACCCCAGGUCAGGCGGGACUACCCGCUGAGUUUAAGC
rnacentral:misc_RNA from 1 species